CUUAGGUGGUUUCCAUUUUUGUUUUCAUUCUAGUCUAGAAUUUUUUAUUUUUAUUUCUGCCCUAAGUUGUUUAAUGUUAAAUUAACGUGAUACAAGAUAACGUUAGACAAAGUAAUUGUAUAAAACAUUAAGUUGGCGAUGUAUAUCGUUUUAAUUAUAAGUUGCAAGUUACAGAUUCCAGGUUAGCAAAGCGCUUAAUUACUGCAGUUGCCAUUCUUCUGAACUCGAAUAUUUAUUUAUGAAGGACAUUUAGUUUAUCGAAAUUUAGCGGAUAUUAAUGACCAAGAGCAGUGACGAAAACUUGGUUGCAACUUAGAAUGCCUCUGACAGGAUUUUUCUCCAUUACAGGCUAGCGUAUGGUAUGGUGAGAAAUUUUUCCUUUUUAGAACGAAUAUCAUUAAAUUCGGGUUAGCGUCCUAUUUUUUGAGGCCCAACCUUCUAUCGCUACAUCUUAAAUAGGUCAAUUAUUUACGUAUCCUAAUUAACCAAAGAUUAUCUAAUAAGUAUUUUUCGACUCGGACAUGUUCUCGAUAAUCGUUUAUUAAGUAAUCGUUAAGUCGCGAGUUAUGUUAUUACUCCGAUAAUUGGCCCGUUUACGUCGAUAUUUCCUCGUUCUCCGUCCAGGAAAAUUCGAUCUUAAUAGCCUGUCUUCGGGCUCCGACCGGACCAUAAAAAAAAAAAAAAAAAAAAAACACAUUUUAAAAUUAGAUCCGAAAAUUCUAAAUCCAGAAACAUGUGGCUAGGACAGUAAUCCCUCCUUAAUAUUUAUCACCGGAAAUCGUCCGAUACGCAUCUCUUGCACUUGUUUUACAAAGCAAAUCGAAAGGUGGGGGAUGAACGAAACAGCGUAAUUAACUCGCUUAACGCUCUAACCGGAUUUUUCUGUUGAUACGGCGGUCACGUACUCGACCGAUUUUUUGUUAAUUUGCAUAUUUUAACGCCUGAUGGUUCUUGGAUUCUCUAACUGGUUCCUCACUCGUAACCGGAAAUUUUUUCUUGGCUCAUUAUAUCGUAAUUUUCUUACGUAUCUUUUGUCGAAAACAAGUGACAUUGAAUAAAUAUUAGAUGUGAAGAUGUGCACGGCCCAAUGGAUAUUUGUCACGGUGUAGUCACCAGUUAUAGGGACGUGUCACGAUAGAACCGGAAACAUCACAACCUAGGAUAUUAAUUGGCGGCCAUCGAACAGUCACCUGGCCUGUAGAUACGCACGACACUGUAAUUAUACGAUAGGGUUGCGUGCUCCGAGAUGCCUGAUUAGCCCAUCCUCUCAUUAACCUUCUUCCUACGCCGAGAUGAUUUAUAUCCCUCUUCUGUUUAAGAAACGAUAUUCAGAAUUUUUUACUCUCCACCACGCAAAAAAAAUCCGUUUUUCUCAACAAAAUUUUGAAUUUUGUUCCCACAAUUAGGAAUGAUGGCGCGAGUUCUUCUUCUUCUUCUAUGCUAAUAUGGAGGAUAGGCGCGAGUUUGAAUGGCGCGAUUCAAUUAUAAAAGACAGCGCUAAUCGGAACUGGUGUCGGCGACUGGUGGACGUUUAUGGCUUCAUUAAAUCGGAAUGGUUAGUAGGAUGGAAAGCGGUCGGAAAGAGGGGGAAGGAAGAAAGUUGGCAUAAAAAGAGGCAAAGGUCGCAUGUCCGAGGGAUGGAGGAUAAAUCUUAGGGGUGUGAGGGAGUUCCGGUAUGUAUAAUUAACUUAGUCGUAACGCGAAGUAAACGGUGGGCAGGUUAUAGGGGUGUGGUUAUUGUCAGGAAUGCUGUAGAUGAUGGAUUACGCUUCAUCACGUUGUCAGACUGGACCGCUUUUUUUCCCCUUCUGGCCGUAGACAUUGACGUUUCCGUGAUGGCGGUGACGUCACGCAGACACGUGAAGUGAGAGAAACGCGCGGUUGAAUGGACUAUAGCGAUUGUCUCGUCGAUUAAUCGCCUGUUAAGGACAUCGACACGUUCGAUUCCGACUCCUCCAGCCAGCGAACAAUGGCGCUACGUAAAUUAGAUUUCUUUAAUUCAUCAAUCCAACCCAACGCGUUGUUACGCGCAAUAGACAGAUGGAAAGAUUGCCGCUUCUCUUUUUUUCCCAUUAAUUAAAACUACUCGGUGGAAAAUACAAUGAGAGAUUUGUAAAGAGAGAAAGACGCUUCGAAAAUCUCUAACAACUCGUAGCGGAGAUAAGAUUGUAUUGCUGAUUUUCUUUCGUGCUCUAUCGCUUUUAAAACUACUGCGCUCAACCACAGAGACAUAUGUCUGGAUAACGGGUUUUAAAUCUCAAUUUUUAAAGCCUAAUCAUCUCUCAUUGGUAUCGGAAUGGCGCCAAUUGCGCUUAUUUUUCUUCCGAAUCCAAGUGGAAAGAAAAAAAAAAUGGAGAAAAAUGUUCACACAAUAAACUAUUGCGCUUUUAAUCAUAGCGAAAUUUCGAAUGGUAGCGUGUUUUCAACGUUUCAAGGCGCUACCAUGCAAACUUUACAAUUUUGCAUGAGUGUCGAUGAUGACAACUGUUUUGUGUCUUCAUCAACAUUCAACCAUAACAAACUUUUAAAGCGCGGAAAGAAAGGUAUCCGAAAAGAAAAAAAAUGAAAGAUAACCAUAAAGAGUUUACUAAAUUAGUAUCGAGUUUUUUUUUUUUUUUUUUUUUUUUGAUUGUUAAUUAAAUGUUUUUGUAGUUUAAAAUGAAUUUUUUUAAAAA
rnacentral:lncRNA from 1 species